GUUGGUCGAAGCGCCUGGUGGUCCCGACCCGGAAGCGCGGCGACGAGAAAAGAAGUCGGGACUGAGCGUGGAGAACCUCGACGUACGGUCGCUUCGGACGGGGGUUCGACUCCCCCCGCCUCCACCA
rnacentral:tmRNA from 1 species